rnacentral:rRNA from 1 species
AGAGUUCGAUCCUGGCUCAGGAUGAACGCUGGCGGCGCGCCUAACACAUGCAAGUCGAACGGCACCCCUCUCCGGAGGGAAGCGAGUGGCGAACGGCUGAGUAACACGUGGAGAACCUGCCCCCUCCCCCGGGAUAGCCGCCCGAAAGGACGGGUAAUACCGGAUACCCCGGGGUGCCGCAUGGCACCCCGGCUAAAGCCCCGACGGGAGGGGAUGGCUCCGCGGCCCAUCAGGUAGACGGCGGGGUGACGGCCCACCGUGCCGACAACGGGUAGCCGGGUUGAGAGACCGACCGGCCAGAUUGGGACUGAGACACGGCCCAGACUCCUACGGGAGGCAGCAGUGGGGAAUCUUGCGCAAUGGGGGGAACCCUGACGCAGCGACGCCGCGUGCGGGACGGAGGCCUUCGGGUCGUAAACCGCUUUCAGCAGGGAAGAGUCAAGACUGUACCUGCAGAAGAAGCCCCGGCUAACUACGUGCCAGCAGCCGCGGUAAUACGUAGGGGGCGAGCGUUGUCCGGAAUGAUUGGGCGUAAAGGGCGUGUAGGCGGCCGACUAAGUCUGAUGUGAAAUACCCGCUUUUAAGGUGGGUCGUGCAUUGGAAACUGGAUGGCUAGAGUGCGGAAGAGGUAAGUGGAAUUCCCAGUGUAGCGGUGAAAUGCGUAGAGAUUGGGAGGAACACCAGUGGCGAAGGCGACUUACUGGACUGUAACUGACGCUGAGGCGCGAAAGUGUGGGGAGCAAACAGGAUUAGAUACCCUGGUAGUCCACACUGUAAACG